rnacentral:rRNA from 1 species
AUUGAACGCUGGCGGAAUGCUUUACACAUGCAAGUCGAACGGCAGCACGGGGGCAGCCCUGGUGGCGAGUGGCGAACGGGUGAGUAAUACAUCGGAACGUGCCCGGUCGUGGGGGAUAACGUAGCGAGAGUUACGCUAAUACCGCAUACGAUCUGAGGAUGAAAGCGGGGGACCUUCGGGCCUCGCGCGAUCGGAGCGGCCGAUGUCAGAUUAGGUAGUUGGUGGGGUAAAGGCCUACCAAGCCGACGAUCUGUAGCUGGUCUGAGAGGACGACCAGCCACGCUGGGACUGAGACACGGCCCAGACUCCUACGGGAGGCAGCAGUGGGGAAUUUUGGACAAUGGGCGCAAGCCUGAUCCAGCCAUUCCGCGUGCAGGACGAAGGCCUUCGGGUUGUAAACUGCUUUUGUACGGAACGAAAAGGCUCUGGCUAAUACCUGGGGCUCAUGACGGUACCGUAAGAAUAAGCACCGGCUAACUACGUG